AUAGUCUGGUUUCUGGGACCUAAGUAAGAUGGACUAAGGUGGAUUCUGGUUGUGGUUGUUUUUUUAGGAAACUUCCCAGGAGGCAAUCGAAAUCAGAUAUCCCCUGGAGCAGCAAGUACUCGACAAAGCCAGAGAGGAACGUGUCCGCAGACCGGUCGAGUACAUCAUCGAGGAUGAUUCUUCUGCCUUAAAUGAGGAACUUCGCGCUUUUCCUACUGAGGCAAGAAAACUUAAGGCUUACAGAGAACCCUACGUGCAGCCAGAAAUCUACUACUAUCUCAUUUCCGUGCCACAACCCAUGCCUUAUCCAGAUGAGGUCCCUCUUGCUUACACCUACAAAUUCGUAGUACCUGCUGUCAACAGGGCAGAUGAGGCAGUCAAUACCCCUGUGGAAGAGGAGAAGAACUAAAAGGAGCUUUCCAGAUCCCCCUCUCUCCUGAUCCCUGUUCUGGCUGAAAAUUCCAACCUCUUUAUGGGCUCGGUCUUCUGUUGGUGUCUAGGAAUAGCCUCAUGCAAUGCAGGAGAUUUGACACUCAUUACUGAUUGAACAAAUAAAAACAAAGCAAAACUCAGGAGAGUGUUCUCUUCCUCCAAUGGGUAUUACCUGACAUUAUUUCUCUUAAUCAAAAGUUGAUUUCUCAACUCGCUUUCCUGUCUCCCACUUUCAGCCCUGACAAGCCAGGUGUAGGCAUUCUAGCAUCGACACAUUAUUUA
rnacentral:lncRNA from 1 species